GUCUCAGUAGCAUAGUGGCUAAUGCACAGCUCCGGACAGGUUGAGACGCGGGUUCGAAUCCCGCCUGAGGUG
rfam:Nippostrongylus brasiliensis genome assembly, scaffold: NBR_scaffold0002224